rnacentral:pre_miRNA from 8 species
AUACUGAUGUACAGUGCAGUCAUCCAUAAAGUAGAGAGUACUACUAAACUCCUCUGCACAGUGUAGUGUUUCCUACUUUAUGGAUGACUGUACUGUUGGCUACGGAG